rnacentral:rRNA from 1 species
AGAGCGAACGCUGGCGGCAGGCUUAACACAUGCAAGUCGAGCGGGCGUAGCAAUACGUCAGCGGCAGACGGGUGAGUAACGCGUGGGAACGUACCUUUUGGUUCGGAACAACCCAGGGAAACUUGGGCUAAUACCGGAUAAGCCCUUACGGGGAAAGAUUUAUCGCCGAAAGAUCGGCCCGCGUCUGAUUAGCUAGUUGGUGAGGUAAUGGCUCACCAAGGCGACGAUCAGUAGCUGGUCUGAGAGGAUGAUCAGCCACAUUGGGACUGAGACACGGCCCAAACUCCUACGGGAGGCAGCAGUGGGGAAUAUUGGACAAUGGGCGCAAGCCUGAUCCAGCCAUGCCGCGUGAGUGAUGAAGGCCCUAGGGUUGUAAAGCUCGUUUUGUGCGGGAAGAUAAUGACGGUACCGCAAGAAUAAGGCCCCGGCUAACUUCGCGCCAGCAGCCGC